rnacentral:rRNA from 1 species
UUGAGCCUACGGGACGCAGCAGUGAGGAAUAUUGGUCAAUGGUCGGGAGACUGAACCAGCCAAGCCGCGUGAGGGAUGAAGGUACAGAGUAUCGUAAACCUCUUUUGUCAGCAGACGGUACCUGAGUAAGAAGCCCCGGCUAACUACGUGCCAGCAGCCGCGGUAAUACGUAGGGGGCAAGCGUUAUCCGGAUUUACUGGGUGUAAAGGGAGCGUAGACGGUGCGCCAAGUCUGGAGUGAAAUGCCGCAGCUUAACUGCGGAACUGCUUUGGAAACUGGCGAACUAGAGUGCGGGAGGGGCAAGG